GCCUUCUUCAACUUUUUCUCUUCCUCACCAUUCUCAUUCUCAACAGAACUAAUCACAUUCUCAUUCUCCACAGUUUUAUCAUCCUCAUCCUCAUUAACAUUAUCAUUAACAUGAUCAUUCACCUCCAUUUUCAAAUCAGAUUCAUCCAUUGCCUCUGAUUUCACCUCGCUCAUCUGUUCAUUCACCGUUCUACCUGGAUCAACAACGUCACUCUUCGAUUCUUCCUCAUCCGUAUUCAAAACCGAUUCAUUCAAGACCGAUUCAUCACAAACCGAUUCCUUACAAACCGAAUCCUUACAAACAGAUUCCUUACAGACAGAUUCAUUACAAACCGAUUCAUUACAUACCGAUUCAUUACAAAUCUCAACUUUAGCCUCAUUUCCAAGCCCUAAAACAACACUUUUAGGUUUUUUACUCACCGGUGACCGCUCCGGCGACACCUGAGCCCUACGAGCACGCGUAACCUCAACUUUCGCCUCAUUUUCAAGCCCUAGAUCACCACUUUUAGGUUUUUUACUCACCGGCAACCGCUCCGGCGACAUCUGCGACCUCCGAGCACGCGUCCGGCCACACAAACCGUAGUUUUCCGAUUGCGAUUUCAUCGCAAACGCAAAUUCACGCUUUAAACCAGGACGAAUCGACGAUAACAACACGUAUUCAUCACCGUCUGUUCCGUUCGCCAUUGUAACGAGCAAUAAUCGCGAGUUUUAUACACGAAUUGCAGAUGUUUCGGAGAGAUUUGUGUGUGUGUUACAGCUGGAUUGAACGAACAAACCCUAGAAGGUUCGAUUGGAGGUUGAAUGGCUGAUUUGUAGGGUGUGUUGAUGAACAGAAGAUGCUAUUUUUGGGUUUGUGAAAGGAUUAUUAUUAUUGUUGUUGAGGGGAAAGGGAAGGGGAGGGGUUAUGAUGCAUGCUUCUUUGUUCUUCCUACUUCCCUUUUGUGAAAAAUAAUAAUAAACCCCACCAGAAGCUUCUUUUUGUUGGACGAUUUUAC
rnacentral:lncRNA from 1 species